rnacentral:lncRNA from 1 species
UCCCAUCAUAGAUCCGCGUAUCCCUUUAAUUAAGCAGUACACCCUGUUUGGUAUUUUCAAAUCUAUUCUGUUAUGAUCGAUAUAUACGUUUAACUUAAUGGAUAGUACAUAUUGACGAUCCUUCAUUAAAAAAAAGGCACGUGCAUAUAAACACUGAUAUUUUACUAUAUAAUAACACUAUCCUUUUGGCUAGAAAGACACCAACCAUCAAUAUUUUGAUUCUUAAAAGCUUCACCCUAGCCACACAAACUCAUACACACAUAGUCGAUGCCUAAUGCAAAAGUUCUGUUCUG